AUUGAACGCUGGCGGCAUGCUUUACACAUGCAAGUCGAACGGCAGCACGGGCUUCGGCCUGGUGGCGAGUGGCGAACGGGUGAGUAAUAUAUCGGAACGUACCCAAGAGUGGGGGAUAACGUAGCGAAAGUUACGCUAAUACCGCAUCCGAUCCACGGAUGAAAGCAGGGGACCGCAAGGCCUUGUGCUCCUGGAGCGGCCGAUAUCUGAUUAGCUAGUAGGUAGGGUAAUGGCCUACCUAGGCGACGAUCAGUAGCUGGUCUGAGAGGACGACCAGCCACACUGGAACUGAGACACGGUCCAGACUCCUACGGGAGGCAGCAGUGGGGAAUUUUGGACAAUGGGCGCAAGCCUGAUCCAGCAAUGCCGCGUGAGUGAAGAAGGCCUUCGGGUUGUAUAGCUCUUUUGUCAGGGAAGAAACGGCUGUGGCUAAUAUCCACGGCUAAUGACGGUACCUGAAGAAUAAGCACCGGCUAACUACGUGCCAGCAGCCGCCGUAAGAC
rnacentral:rRNA from 1 species